CAUCACUAUUUCUGUGGACGCGAUUUGCGGGGACUCUUCGAUGGAUAAGCGUCUGAAUGCGGCUGCAAUAUGGCUGCUAAUAUUGCUAUAUGUAGCUACCGUUGCUCAAGGCGAAAGAACGCGAGAUAAGAUGUACGAACCCAUAGGAGGAGCAAGCUGCUUUCGCCGAUUGAAUGGCACCCAUCAAACUGGGUGUUCCUCCACCUACUCUGGCUCCGUGGGCGUACUCCAUCUGGUAAACGUCGAGGCCGAUCUGGAAUUUCUACUGGCCAGUCCACCGUCGCCCCCAUACGCUCCUUUGAUACCACCUCACCUGUUUACACGCAGCAACCUUAUGCGAUUAAAAGAAGCCGGACCAAAGAACAUCUCCGUAGUGCUGCUGAUUAACCGCACAGAACAGAUGAAACAAUUCUCUCACGAGCUCAACUGUCCCAAUCAGUAUAGUGGCCUAAAUAGCAGCAGCGAGACCUGCGAUGCCAGCAAUCCGGCCAAAAACUGGAACCCUUGGGGUACCGGUCUGCUGCACGAGGACUUUCCCUUUCCCAUCUACUACGUUGCCGAUAUCGAUCAAGUCAAAAAGCUGGAGCAGUGUUUUCAGGACUUUAACAACUUUAACUACGAGACCCACGCCCUUCGCAGUUUGUGUGCUGUCGAGGUCAAGUCCUUUAUGUCAGCUGCGGUCAACACGGAGGUCUGCAUGCGGCGAACGAACUUUAUCAACAAUCUAGGUGGCAGCAAAUACUGCGAUCCUCUAGAGGGACGUAAUGUGUACGCCACUUUGUAUCCCCGAGAACCAGCUAUCGUAAACAAAACUGUAACAAUCCAUACGGAUGAAAAGUUCAUUUUGGUGUCGUGUCGUUUGGACACCGCCACCAUGUUUGAUGGUGUUGGUCUUGGAGCCAUGGACUCUCUUAUGGGGUUUGCUGUUUUUACCCAGGUGGCGUAUCUUUUACGACAGCUAUUGCCGCCUCAAAGUUCGCUUCCCGAUCCCCUUCGUAAUGUCCUUUUUGUGACUUUUAAUGGUGAAUCCUACGAUUACAUUGGAUCCCAGAGAUUUGUUUAUGAUAUGGAGAAAUUAGAGUUCCCUCCUGAGUCUACUGACAGACCUCCAAUUACCUUUGACAAUAUUGAGUUUAUGUUCGAUAUAGGCACUCUGGAUGACAUUGCAAACAUUAAGCUGCAUGCUUUAACUGGAACACCUCUGGCUCAGAAAAUUCUAGAGCAGAUGAACAACUAUGCCAAAUCGUCACGCUACGGUUUUAACUUAAAUAUUCAAUCUGAGAUGAGUGCCCACAUACCGCCGACAUCUGCGCAAUCCUUUUUGCGGCGUGAUCCAAAGUUUCCGGCUUUAAUAUUGAACGCCCGACCAACCAACAAAUAUUACCACUCAAUUUACGAUGAUGGCAUUAAUGUGGACUUUACAUAUGCAAACACAAGCAAAGACUUUACCCAGCUGGCGGAAGUGAAUGAUUUAAAGAGCUUGAAGGCUGACUCACUGCAAAUGAAAGUGCGCAACGUUUCCUCUAUUUUGGCAAUGACACUUUAUCAGACGCUGACUGGAAAAGAGUACACCGGCACUAAGGUGGCCAACCCUCUUUUGGCGGAUGAGUUCUUUUACUGCUUCCUGCAAUCAGCAAACUGUCCACUUUUCAAAGCAGCAUCUUAUCCAGGCAGUCAGUUAACCAAUUUGCCUCCAAUGCGCUAUAUAAGCGUCUUGGGCGGAUCUCAAGAGUCGUCCGGCUAUACAUAUAGAAUGUUAGGCUAUCUUAUGUCGCAACCACAGCCAGACAUUCCACAAGAAAAUUGCACCGACUUGCCAUUGCACUAUUUCGCUGGCUUCAACAAUAUCGGAGAGUGUCGCCUCACCACACAAAACUACAGCCACGCCUUAAGUCCAGCUUUUCUUAUUGAUGGCUACGAUUGGAGUUCCGGCCAGUUCUCCACAUGGACUGAAUCCACCUGGUCACAGUUUAGUGCACGCAUUUUCCUGCGUCCGUCCAAUGUACACCAGAUCACAACCCUCAGCGUGGGAAUAGUGGUGCUGAUCAUCUCCUUUUGCCUAGUGUACAUAAUAAGCUCUCGAUCGGAAGUCCUUUUCGAGGACUUGCCGGCUAGCAAUGCCGCAUUAUUUGGUUGAUGUCACAACUGCCACAGCGACGACAUCAUCGCGUUCAGCUGCUCAUUCCACAGACUUCUGCAUGCAUAAAUGUUCAUAGUUUUCAAAGUUGCCGCGACCGACGGCCUGUUAAUCAGUGGAAAUCUUCAAGAAAAUCUCAGCCUAUUCCGAAGCUGAUUGGCAGCUGAACAAGAUCUGAAAACAAAAGACAGACUUAACAAAGACACUAAAAUGAUAUUCUAACUCGUCUUAUUUAAACCAUUAAGCAAACGUUUAUUUAUGUGUAUUUUUGUAUUUUAAACAAGUAAAUUAGCCUCUAGCUACUAUGUUGUAUCAUAUAUAGACAUUUAACCAAUUGCGACAAAACCUAUACUUGUAUGUAUUAAAUUUUUUCCACUUGUCCGGCCCGUUUUGAAUUGUACAUAGAGAUAAAGAAAAGAAAUUCAACCUCUGAGAAUGCCAAGGAAGAUAUGUCUGUACAAAUAUUGACAAGAAACUGCUAUAAAUCAUUAAACAUUGGAAAUAUUUAUACCUUCUGCAUAUAUUGCGAUACUGAACUUAAUGAUCUGAAAUCAUCACUUCAUAGAAGACAAAUAAUUAUUAUAACGACUCUAAAUUAUAUAUGUUUAAUAAAUUUUGAUAAGGUGUAAA